rnacentral:rRNA from 1 species
CUACGGGGUGCAGCAGUGAGGAAUAUUGCGCAAUGGACGAAAGUCUGACGCAGCCAUGCCGCGUGCAGGAUGACGGCGCUAUGCGUUGUAAACUGCUUUUAUAGGCCAAGAAACCUUCGGACGUGUCCGAAGCUGACGGUAGCAUAUGAAUAAGCACCGGCUAACUCCGGGCCAGCAGCCGCGGUAAUACGGAGGGUGCAAGCGUUAUCCGGAUUUAUUGGGUUUAAAGGGUCCGUAGGCGGAUCAUUAAGUCAGUGGUGAAAGCCGGCAGCUCAACUGUCGAACUGCCAUUGAUACUGGUGAUCUUGAAUACGGUUGAAGUUGGCGGAAUAGGUCAUGUAGCGGUGAAAUGCUUAGAUAUGACCUAGAACACCGAUUGCGAAGGCAGCCAACUAAGCCGUUAUUGACGCUGAGGGACGAAAGCGUGGGGAGCGAACAGGAUAGAUACCCUAGUAGUC